CCUACGGGUGGCAGCAGUGAGGAAUAUUGGUCAAUGGCCGGAAGGCUGAACCAGCCAUGCCGCGUGAAGGUCAGUGCCCUAUGGGCGUUAAACUUCUUUUGUGCGGGAGCAAUAAUGGUCACGUGUGGCCAGACGAGAGUACCGUACGAAUAAGCAUCGGCUAACUUCGUGCCAGCAGCCGCGGUAAUACGGGGGAUGCAAGCGUUAUCCGGAUUUAUUGGGUUUAAAGGGUGCGUAGGCUGUGAGGUAAGUCAGCGGUGAAAUGCCCCCGCUCAACGGGGUGAAGUGCCAUUGAUACUGCCUGGCUGGAGUGCGGAUGCGGUAGGAGGAAUGUGUGGUGUAGCGGUGAAAUGCAUAGAUAUCACACAGAACACCGAUUGCGAAGGCAUCUCACGAAUCCGCGAUUGACGCUGAUGCACGAAAGCGUGGGUAUCAAACAGGAUUAGAUACCCGGGUAGUC
rnacentral:rRNA from 1 species